AAGUCGUAACAAGGUUUCCGUAGGUGAACCUGCGGAAGGAUCAUUAAUGAAAUAAUUGUGGCAUUGGUUGUUGCUGGCUUCUAGAAGUACUGUGCACACCUGUCAUUCUUAUCUUUCCACCUGUGCACUUAAUGUAGGCCUGGAUUUUACUCUCAUUCUUAUUGGAAUGGAUGUGAGGAUUUGCUGAAGCUGUAAUGGCUUUUAGCUUUCUUUGAAUUUCCAGGUCUAUGUAUCUCUCUACACACCCCAUUUGUAUAAUGAAGAAUGUAGUCAAAUGGGCUUCCAUGCCUAUAAAAUAAAUACAACUUUCAGCAACGGAUCUCUUGGCUCUC
rnacentral:misc_RNA from 1 species